UCUUUGGGAGAAGUCAGGACAAG
rnacentral:misc_RNA from 1 species